rnacentral:rRNA from 1 species
GAUGAACGCUGGCGGCGUGCCUAAUACAUGCAAGUCGAGCGAACAGACGAGGAGCUUGCUCCUCUGACGUUAGCGGCGGAUGGGUGAGUAACACGUGGAUAACCUACCUAUAAGACUGGGAUAACUUCGGGAAACCGGAGCUAAUACCGGAUAAUAUAUUGAACCGCAUGGUUCAAUAGUGAAAGACGGUUUUGCUGUCACUUAUAGAUGGAUCCGCGCCGCAUUAGCUAGUUGGUAAGGUAACGGCUUACCAAGGCGACGAUGCGUAGCCGACCUGAGAGGGUGAUCGGCCACACUGGAACUGAGACACGGUCCAGACUCCUACGGGAGGCAGCAGUAGGGAAUCUUCCGCAAAGGGCGAAAGCCUGACGGAGCAACGCCGCGUGAGUGAUGAAGGUCUUCGGAUCGUAAAACUCUGUUAUUAGGGAAGAACAAAUGUGUAAGUAACUAUGCACGUCUUGACGGUACCUAAUCAGAAAGCCACGGCUAACUACGUG